rnacentral:rRNA from 1 species
ACAGGUGGGUGAGUGUAAAUGCACUAAGGCGCGCGAGAGAGACCUCUCUAAGGAACUCGGCACAUUAGCCUCGUAACUUCGGGAAAAGAGGUGCUCACUUCGGUGAGCCACAGUAAAUUGCGUUUAGCGACUGUUUAACAAAAACACAGCACUCUGCUAAGUCGUUAAGACGACGUAUAGGGUGUGACACGUGACCAAUGCGGAAAGAUUAAGGCAUUUUGUUAGCCGCAAGGCGAAGCUCGGUGCCAAAGUCCCCGUGAAUGUCGGCCGUAACUAUAACGGUCCUAAGGUAGCGAAAUUCCUUGUCGGGUAAGUUCCGACCUGCACGAAUCGUGUAACGACUGAACGACUGUCUCGGAGAGGAUCUCGGCGAAACUGUAACUGCGGUGAAGAUGCCGCAUGCCCGCAGUAGGACGGAAAGACCCUAUGCACCUUUACUGUAAGCUGGUAUUGUGUUCUGAUUAAUAAUGCGUAGCGUAGGUGGGAGGCUUUGAAGUGAGUGCUUCGGUGCUCAUGGAGCCGCAAUGUGAAACACCACUCUUUGCUAAUUAGGAUUCUAACCUCGAUUCCUGUCAACCAGGCGAGGGACAGUGCUUGCGGGUCAGUUUGACUGGGGCGGUUUCCUCCCAAAGAGUAACGGAGGAGCGCGAAGCUUGGCUCAGCACGGUUGGCAACCGUGCGUCGAGCGUAUGGGUAUAAGCCAGGUUAACUGUGAGACCUACAAGUCGAGCAGAUGCGAAAGCAGGCCCAAAUGAUCCGAUGGUUUAAUGUGGAAUUGCCAUCGCUCAACGGACAAAAGGUACGCUAGGGAUAACAGGCUGAUCGGUUCCAAGAGUUCACAUCGACGAACCGGUUUGGCACCUCGAUGUCGGCUCAUCGCAUCCUGGGGCUGGAGAAGGUCCCAAGGGUCCGGCUGUUCGCCGGUUAAAGCGGUACGCGAGCUGGGUUCAGAACGUCGUGAGACAGUUCGGUCCUUAUCCACUGUGGGCGCAGGAAUCUUGAGGGGUUCAUUCUCUAGUACGAGAGGACCGAGAAUGACGCACUUCUGGUGUGGCAGUUGUUCCAUCAGGGGCAUCGCUGCGUAGCCAUGUGCGGAAGAGAUAAGCGCUGAAAGCAUCUAAGUGCCAAGCUCAUCCCAAGAUAUGGAUUCCCGGACGCAAGUCCCUAAAGACCCCCGGCAGACUACCGGGUUGAUAGGUCAGGCAUGUAAGCGUCGCGAGAUGUUUAGUGGACUGAUACUAAUUGGUCGUGCGGCUUGAUCGC